AGACCACCUUGAUCCUCCCCGUGUGGUUUCCCACUGCCGGCAGUGACACCCGGCACAGCAGCAGGAAGAAGAGGAAGGGGAAGGGAAGUCUGUGGCGUCUCUGAAACACUCGCAGGGAGAAAAAAGAAAGUGUGGGGAGAGAGAGCUCGGCAAACAAAACUCUGGGACAGCCUCCAAUUCCUCAUCAAAAGUCAAGUUCUUUGGAAGCAAUGUGGUUUUCCUGCACAUAAAGACUGUGAGGCGUGAGGAAUGCUAGCGGUGGAAUCGUCUCCUGAGCCAGUUGGCAUGAGGGGGCCAGCGGCUUGCAGACGACAUCCAUCACACCAGAGAUUUGUCAUAAUAGCUGGCACCGCACCUCAGAGGCACCUCCCUUUCUCUCUCCAGACAUUUGACAAGAGUUUGGAAAUGAACAGCCUCCCAAAUGGAAGAUCAGUGCCUCUGCAUUUCUACAGCUAUAAGCGACUGCAUUAAUGAGAAAACACCUAAGUGAGUUGUAUUUCUAGAUCAAACCAACUGGCUAUGAGACCCAAAGAGUUGAGCACCCGUGCAUGACCAUUUUGAGUUUUCUACCCAUUCAUUAAAACAGUCAUUGAAGAGUUGGAGUUAGAGUUAGGGUCAUCUCACUGUAACAUAUGUAGACAAAUUAUAAAGAAAACUUGCUUCAGUACUCAAGUUGGGAAGUGAUAAGGGUAUUAGACAGUGUA